rnacentral:rRNA from 1 species
UACGUAGGGUGCGAGCGUUGUCCGGAAUUACUGGGCGUAAAGAGCUCGUAGGUGGUUUGUCGCGUUGUUCGUGAAAACUCACAACUCAAUUGUGGGCGUGCGGGCGAUACGGGCAGACUGGAGUACUGCAGAGGAGACUGGAAUUCCCGGUGUAGCGGUGAAAUGUGUAGAGAUCGGGAGGAACACCGGUGGCGAAGGCGGGUCUCUGGGCGAUUUCCUGACGGCUGAGGCGCGAAAGCGUGGGGAGCAAACGGG